rnacentral:rRNA from 1 species
GCCACCAUCCGUCUCUCGAUCCACCCGAUGCGGCCGCCCUAUCUCCCUCGUCUAGCGAUGUAGCGCCGCCCCAAUCUCCUCGCUCCGCUGCCGCCGCCCCAAUCUCCCCGCUCCGCCCCCGCCGCCCCCCGCCUUCCACUAUCACUCGCUCAGCCACCUCCACCCUCCUCUACAUCGCAGGAGGAAAGCGCUCGAGCAGGUGAGGAGGGAGUCGGUGCGGCAGGGCGCGGCGCUGGACGAGCUGAGGCGGCGGCUCGAGCGGCGGCGGGCGCGUGCGGACGAGCUCCUCGUCGCCAGGCAGAGGGCCGAUGAGGGCGUCGAGUGCCGCAAGGAGCAGAUGCAGGCGCAGAUCGAGCGGGUGCUGUCGCUCUCCAGGGCCCUCGCCGCCGCGCACCGGCAAGUGCAGGGGCGGCUAGCUUUGUUGAUGCAUAUGCCGACAUGAUAAACAAGAUAUGCAUGCAUAUUUUUAAUUUUAUUUGGAGAUAAGAUAAAUAUGCGAUACUAAUUGCUAAGUCGAGGAAGCAUGUGAUUUCGAUGUUGAUACUGAUUCUCAAGAAGUGUUGGAUACUUUGCUUAACUCGAAACUGGAACAUGAAACACUGAUGCAGGUUUCAUGAUGGAACUAGAAAGGCCCUUCUGAAGGUAUGAGAACAUCUACAAACCAAUAUUGUGCAAUAGUAUAUACUCGUUGAUGUGUUGGGGAUGAUGAGAUUUUUGUAACCAACAGUCUCUGAGCUAACAUCGAAACAUAAGAUGUAUACUCACGCUGGACCAUUAAAAAAUAUUAGAUUUCCCUACAUUUCUGUCAUCGAGCAUCAGAACUACUAUUUCAAAUUCAUUGGCAUUUGGUGCUAUGUUCUGCACCAUAUCAUAACUAUUUCCCUAUGUUCUGCAUUUGAAAACUAUAUAAAGCCAAAUAACUAUGAACACACCCUUGGAAUAAAUGUGAAAGGAGAAUUUGCGGUCUUACUGGAAAAAAAUGAAACAUUAGCUAGGAUUUGUUGGUUAGAUUCAUGUUGCUCCAUCCAUUUACUAUCAGUUCCUUCCAUAUAUUGCUUCCAUCAGAACAUGUUGACCUGAUUGUCCAUGGUUACACUCAUCUUCAAAUGGCACAACAUGUUUUGCUGCCACAUCUUCUCUUACCAUAUGAUGAAUAGGUACUAUGUUCCAUCCCUCUCUUAUUUCACACUGCAUUAACAAUGUUUUUUCAGUGUGUCGAUUUGCCUAACUAUGCCUUAUUGAUUACUGAUUUUGUUACUAAUGUGUACACAAACCCUGCCUAAUUAAUUUAGUCCACUAUAUCUAACCAUAUGAAGUGUGAAAGUUGAUUCUGACUACUUGCCUGGUGGUGUGGUACAUUACCUCUUUUUUUAAAUUAUGAGAGCGGAACGACAACAUUGGCGUGGACGACUCGGAGCUCAACCCCGUCAAGGGUCGCGAGCAGGAGCGGCUUUCUUUUCCUCACAAAGAUGACCAAGGUCCAAGGGCGCCGUCGACCACUUUGUCAUUGUCGUCGAAGAGUCCAAGCUUGUCCCCGCAUCGGUUGCAUUGGUGCCGAUCAGGUCCAGGUCUGCGCGGUUGGGGCGUCAAUCACAUGUUUUUCCAUUGAUUGCUACAGAUUUUGAGAGAACACUAUUGUCCACGUUAUAUCGUAUACUUCCAAAUUAUAAAGCGUUCUUGUUAUAUUGUAUGCAGCAAAUCGCUUCCUUUAUGAUCUGAUUAAAAUCGCCGGAUUUAACAUGACGCAUGCAAGGAUAUACUAAAACUAUCACACCAAAGGCGAGGAUCCUUGAUCUCCACCAUAGCGAUGAAGCCAGUGUCGGAGUCGCCGUCUUCGCCAAGGAUAGUCACAAUGACGGAAAGGUCCAGGUCUGCGCGGUUGGGGCGUCAAUCACGUGUUCAACGGCAUGUCAGAGCAACUCUCUGGCCAGAGCCCUGACUAUGUGCGCUUCAGAGUCUGGCCACAGCGCCUGUUCACAUAAAUCAUCAUAUUGGCAGCCUGGAAUAUUUGGAAACAAAGAAAUAGAUGCUACUUUGAGGGUACGAAGCCUUCUGUUCAGGACUGGCUCAGGAUGUUCAAAGACCCCAAGACCGAUGUUGUCCCUGUGAUCGACUACGUCGACGACGACCCUUCUUCCCUUUCAGCAGAGCUUCCAGAUGCUGGAGCCCUGAAGCCAGACGCCACCAUCGACGACGACCCCCUACUACACCGGAGGUGCCUACUACUACGUGCAGCCCGCUGACGACGACCAGGAGUAGUUAGGAGGAUCCCAGGCAGGAGGCCUGCGCCUCUUUCGAUCUGUAUCCCAGUUUGUGCUAGCCUUCUUAAGGCAAACUUGUUUAACUUAUGUCUGUACUCAGAUAUUGUUGCUUCCGCUGACUCGUCUAUGAUCGAGCACUUGUAUUCGAGCCCUCGAGGCCCC